rnacentral:rRNA from 1 species
UACGUAGGGUGCAAGCGUUGUUCGGAUUUACUGGGCGUAAAGCGCACGUAGGCGGAUUGUUAAGUCAGGGGUGAAAUCCUGGAGCUCAACUCCAGAACUGCCUUUGAUACUGGCAAUCUCGAGUCCGGAAGAGGUAAGUGGAACUCCUAGUGUAGAGGUGGAAUUCGUAGAUAUUAGGAAGAACACCAGUGGCGAAGGCGGCUUACUGGUCCGGAACUGACGCUGAGGUGCGAAAGCGUGGGGAGCAAACAGG